GUAUGAUUUUAUAUAUAUAUAUAUAUAUAUAUACAGAGAAGAUUAGCAAGGACGACACGCAAAAUCGUGAAGCGUUCCUAAUUUUU
rnacentral:snRNA from 1 species